CUAGCUCUGCCUCCCUGAUGCAGGGCACCCUUGGGUGAGUCUCAAGGCACAUUCAUCUCCCUCACCCAUCCCCACAGACAAAUGUCAGCAGCACCAAGGUGGAUCCAAGUUUUAUAAAGCCUGGAACUUAUACAACUUAGGGGAUUCUCUUUAGGAAACAGAACACAAAAUUAUUAAUACAAAACUAGGUUAAAAGUGAAUAUUCGGCCAGGCGCGUUGGCUCACGCCUGUAAUCCCAGCACUUUGGGAGGCCGAGGUAGGCAGAUCACCUGAGAUCAGGAAUUCGAGACCAGCCUGGCCAACACGGUGAAACCCUAUCUCUACUAAAAACUACAAAAAUUAGCCAGGCAUGGUGGCGGGUGCCUGUAAUCCCAGCUACUUGGGAGGCUGAGGCAGGAAAAUCGUUUGAACCUGGGAGGCAGAGGUUGUUAUAACUAUAAGAAAAUUAUGACAGUGGCAGAGAGCUGAUCUAACCACCCCCCAUUUUGCCUUUAACCUUCAUGCAGAACCAUCUAUAAACCAGGCUCAAGUCUUCUCUUCCUCUGUCAACUGAUAGUAGGGGGCUCCCCAUUAAGCCAUAGGUGCAGCCUGAGGGAGAGAAAGUACUGUAGCAAGAGUCAAGACCAUGGGUAUUUGGGCCACUUCUUCAUGUAACUUACUUGUGCCUCACCCAGUUCAUGAUGGGCAGCUCAGGUCUCGUGGUAAGUUGGUGGUCCAUGGUCAAGUGUUUAGUUUCUACUGAGGCCCAGUAACAGUCCAAGAGUUGUCUCUCAAAAGGAGAGUAAUUAUCUGAAGAUUAUGUC
rnacentral:lncRNA from 10 species